GUUUGAGGUGUGUCAUUGAGAUUUAUUUUCGUUGUGAGCAGAAUGCUUAAGUAUGGCAGUUGGUAUUACGUUUGUAUCAUGUGAAGCAGCACAAAGAGGAAAUAAAAAGUCUUAUUCUGACCUGUUGAAUCCUUUCAAACGGAUUCAACAUCAUAUCCUGACGGAAAUUGUUGUUGACACAAGACGGCCUUGUUUUGGAACACGACCUCUGCAAAUAAUUUAAAUCCUUAUCAUGGAAAUUGAAUAAACAAAGAAGUGUGUGUUAAAGGCAUGAGAAUAAUUAAGUGACGCGCACCUACAUGUAUUGAC